rnacentral:rRNA from 1 species
CCUACGGGGGGCUGCAGUGGGGAAUUUUGGACAAUGGGCGCAAGCCUGAUCCAGCAAUGCCGCGUGCAGGAAGAAGGCCUUCGGGUUGUAAACUGCUUUUGUCAGGGAAGAAAUCCUCUGGGUUAAUACCUCGGGGGGAUGACGGUACCUGAAGAAUAAGCACCGGCUAACUACGUGCCAGCAGCCGCGGUAAUACGUAGGGUGCGAGCGUUAAUCGGAAUUACUGGGCGUAAAGCGUGCGCAGGCGGUUGUGCAAGACAGGUGUGAAAUCCCCGGGCUUAACCUGGGAACUGCACUUGUGACUGCACAGCUAGAGUACGGUAGAGGGGGAUGGAAUUCCGCGUGUAGCAGUGAAAUGCGUAGAUAUGCGGAGGAACACCGAUGGCGAAGGCAAUCCCCUGGACCUGUACUGACGCUCAUGCACGAAAGCGUGGGGAGCAAACAGGAUUAGAUACCCGGGUAGUC